GUUUCAUUCCCGCGUGGGUUUCAUGGGUGUUGGGUGGCGGUGGUGAGGGUCUUGUCUGAAUUUCAAUUGCUUCAUAGCUAAGAGGCACUCUGAUUUGUCCUUGGUCAAAUCAUCGGAUCACAUGGCUUGACUGCUGUCCAUUUUGCCAUAAUGUCCUCCAUUUCUAUGUGUACCAGCUGUAUGUCUCAUCUGAUACUGAAACACUUUACAGAAGAAACUUGACUUGAAAUUCUAGAUCCCAUUGCAAAAUUUCUGAAACUAUAAGGUUUCACAGCCAGGUGAAGUCUGAGCUUCUGCAGUGCUGUCUAACGUGCUCAUGGAUUUGUUGCAGCCAGCUGGCAUAAGGUGUUCCUCUUGCUGGCUUUCUACCCGUACCAGCUUUUCCCACUUACAGAAACAAUAGAGAACAAUUCUGAAUAGUAAAGCUGAUAAAAUUUUUACGUUAGGAUUAACAGUCCUUUGAAUUCUUGGCUUAAGCUAAUAAGCUAUUUCAUCACUGCAUUCUAAUGUGGAUUUGUUAAGCCAGCUAGUUAAUUUUUCAUCAUACAAUGUUCUUAAAGGCACCUUUUUAAAAAUGUAACUUCAGCCAUCUAAACCAGCAUUUGUAUCCAAUUGUUUAGGCUGCACGGAAUUCUCAUUUCCCUUUGAUGUGAACUUCAAUAACAUGCACUAAUUGAAGGUUUACGUUCCCAGAGUUGCUGCCUAAUCUGGCGUGUUGUUCCAGCCUAUGCCGAUGAAAGAUAUUUUUUCUUCAAGUUGAAAUGAGGCUGUUCCUUGGUGCUGGCGUCGUGUAGCGGAAGUUGCAUCCUGUAUUUUGUUCAAUGGUACAAGUGUCUUUAUCGUUUAUAUGUUGAGAAGUUAUAGAAUAUGGGGAGUUCUUACGUAAAAUAAAUAAUAAAUAUUUUCGGGAUUGGAAAACACCGAGGAGGAAGAUGGUGGGGGGUGGGAUGGGUUGAUUUGACUUAAAUUGAAAUGCUAAUUAAUAGUGACGUGAAAGUCAGUGUUGACACUCUUAUUAACCCAUAACCCAACAUAAAUUCAAAUAUCUAUAGAUCUAGAUUAUCUCUAUACCCGCUAUUACCCAUCCCUCUCACUCCCCUAAUGCUCAUACUUCUAAUAUCCAAACUCCUAAUACCCAUCCUUUUUAAUCUCAUACCUAAUUAAUGUAUACAUUUAACAUAAAAUAAACAAA